UCCCGGUUGUCCCGGGCAGUCUCGUAUGAAAAAUACAACAUACGACAAGGGUUGCGCUCGUUGCGGGACUUAACCCAACAUCUCACGACACGAGCUGACGACGGCCAUGCAACACCUGUCACCUGGUUCCCGAAGGCACUCCACUGUUUCCAGCGGAUUCCAGGGAUGUCAAGCCUUGGAUAAGGUUCUUCGCGUAGCUUCGAAUUAAACCACAUCAUCCACCGCUUGUGCGGGUCCCCGUCAAUUCCUUUGAGUUUUAAGCUUGCGCUCGUACUCCCCAGGCGGCAAACUUAACGCGUUAGCUUCUCAGCACAGAGGGUCGAUACUCCAUACUAAUAGUUUGCAUCGUUUACGGCGUGGACUAC
rnacentral:misc_RNA from 1 species